rnacentral:rRNA from 1 species
CUACGGGGCGCUCCAGUGGGGAAUAUUGCGCAAUGGGGGAAACCCUGACGCAGCAACGCCGUGUGUGUGAAGAAGGUUUUCGGAUCGUAAAGCACUGUUGAGUGGAACGAGCCGGUCGUAGUGAAUAGCUGCGGCCCCGACGGUACCACCUGAGGAAGCACCGGCUAACUCCGUGCCAGCAGCCGCGGUAAUACGGAGGUGGCAAGCGUUGUUCGGAAUUAUUGGGCGUAAAGCGCACGUAGGCGGACUGUUAAGUCUGAUGUGAAAUCCCUCGGCUCAACCGAGGACGUGCAUUGGAUACUGGCAGUCUUGAGUCCCGGAGAGGGUGGCGGAAUUCCCAGUGUAGAGGUGAAAUUCGUAGAUAUUGGGAGGAACACCAGUGGCGAAGGCGGCCACCUGGACGGUGACUGACGCUGAGGUGCGAAAGCGUGGGUAGCAAACAGGAUUAGAUACCCUGGUAGUC